rnacentral:rRNA from 1 species
GCGGCGUAAGCUGUCGCUAUGGGAUGGCCCCGCGGUGCAUUAGCUAGUUGGUAAGGCAAAGGCUUACCAAGGCGAUGAUGCAUAGCCGAGUUGAGAGACUGAUCGGCCACAUUGGGACUGAGACACGGCCCAAACUCCUACGGGAGGCAGCAGUAGGGAAUCUUCCACAAUGGACGCAAGUCUGAUGGAGCAACGCCGCGUGAGUGAAGAAGGUUUUCGGAUCGUAAAGCUCUGUUGUUGGUGAAGAAGGAUAGAGGUAGUAACUGGCCUUUAUUUGACGGUAAUCAACCAGAAAGUCACGGCUAACUACGUGCCAGCAGCCGCGGUAAUACGUAGGUGGCAAGCGUUGUCCGGAUUUAUUGGGCGUAAAGCGAGCGCAGGCGGAAGAAUAAGUCUGAUGUGAAAGCCCUCGGCUUAACCGAGGAACUGCAUCGGAAACUGUUUUUCUUGAGUGCAGAAGAGGAGAGUGGAACUCCAUGUGUAGCGGUGGAAUGCGUAGAUAUAUGGAAGAACACCAGUGGCGAAGGCGGCUCUCUGGUCUGCAACUGACGCUGAGGCUCGAAAGCAUGGGUAGCGAACAGGAUUAGAUACCCUGGUAGUCCAUGCCGUAAACGAUGAGUGCUAAGUGUUGGGAGGUUUCCGCCUCUCAGUGCUGCAGCUAACGCA